GACGUAGGAGGCGAGCGUUGUCCGGAUUUACUGGGCGUAAAGAGCGCGCAGGCGGUCGAUCAAGUCGAGUGUGAAAGCCCCCGGCUCAACUGGGGAGGGUCACUCGAUACUGAUCGACUCGAAGGCAGGAGAGGGAAGUGGAAUUCCCGGUGUAGUGGUGAAAUGCGUAGAUAUCACUUGGAACGCCAAUGGUGAAAACAGGUAGCUGGGGCUGUGCCGACGCUGAGACACGAAAGCCAGGGGAGCGAACGGG
rnacentral:rRNA from 1 species